rnacentral:rRNA from 1 species
GAUUUCUGGUUUAAUGCACCUGGCCCGCGGCCACUAGGCUUGUGAGUGCCGGCGCGCGUUUACCAUCCUUCUAGAAAACGUUUCUGCCAUUAACUUGGUUGGGAAUGCGAUCUAGAUCUUUUACUUUGAAAAAAUUAGAGUGUUUAAAGCAGGCUUUUGCUAUGAAUACAUUAGCAUGGAAUAAUAAUCUAGGACUUCGGUUCUAUUUUGUUGGUUUCUACAACUGAAGUAUUGGCCGGCCAGAGGUGAAAUUCUUGGAUUCGGUCAAGACUAACUUAUGCGAAAGCAUU